rnacentral:lncRNA from 1 species
GGCAUCCACUAACGAUCUUCCUUUACUAGGCGAAGAUCAAUCUCCUUCUUACACCCCUCUUCUCCUUUUACUGGGUUUAGGAGACAACCCUUACAAGCACUCACUCUCCUCUCUUAAACAGAAUUCUAACACUUAAGCUAAAGGAGGGAAAUUCUAGAGAUUGCAGCAGCGUUUUCUAUCUUUUAAUCUCUCUGUGCUUGUAUGUUUUACCCAGGGAUGGGAGGGGUAUUUAUAGGCUCUAAACCAGUUUGAAUUCCGAGCUCA